rnacentral:tRNA from 1 species
ACGGGCAUAGUCUAACGGUAGGAUAGAGGUCUCCAAAACCUUUGGUCUGGGUUCGAAUCCUAGUGCCCGUGCAA